GAAAUUUGAUAAUUCAGGUUCCUUCCAAGUUCGUUCUGAAACGGAGUGGUUGGUGUAUUGUAUAGUUCUAGGGAUUGUAUUUCACUCAAAACCCACCAAAUGCCUCCUCCCACAAUAUUAUGUUGUUCCCCAAGUUUUGUACUCAAUCCGAUAUCGAUUGGUCCUUGAAAUCGGACAAUUCAGGUUCGUUUGAAGUUCGUCCCGAAUUGGGGUGGUUGGUGUAUUGUAUAGUUCUAGAGAUUGGAUUUCACUCAAAACCCACCAAAUGACUCAUCCCACAAUAUUAUGAUGUUCCCCAAGUAUUGGACUCAAUCCGAUAUCGAUUAGUCCUUGAAAUCGGCCAAUCAGGUUCGUACGAAGUUCGUUCUGAAAUGGGGUGGUUGGUGUAUUGUAUAGUUCUAGAGAUUGGAUUUCACUCAAAACCCACCAAAUGACUCCUCCCACAAUAUUAUGAUGUUCCCCAAGUUUUGGACUCAAUCCGAUGUCGAUUGGGGCUUGAAAUCGGACAAUUCAGGUUCGUACGAAGUUCGUUCUGAAAUGGGGUGGUUGGUGCAUUGUAUAGUUCUAGAGAUUGG
rnacentral:lncRNA from 1 species